rnacentral:lncRNA from 1 species
AUGACAGAUGACACGGAAUCCUCCUCGGAUAUUUUAAAGACAUGUAAAACAGUGAAUAAGCUCAAACAUAGCAAGAGCGCCUACGAAUUUGAAUCCUUACGCCCAAAAGAAAGGAGUUCCAGUUCAGAGAGCCUAACAGAAAGUCCCCUAAUCAGCAAAAUGCCUUGGUAUGCUACUGUGAUUCAGGAUAAGGAUCGGACCUUGCUCAUGAUGAAAGAUGAGAUCAACCGACUUACUACCAUGGAAGAGGCUUGCCUGAAGAAGGACUCUGAGCUUGCCUUUCUCAAAGCAGAGGUGAAAUCACUAAAGAAACAGCUGCAACACCUAAAUGAAGUUCGAGGAACAGAUGUUGACUCCGAUGUAAAGAUCCCAAGCUUGAGCAAAGCCAUCGUUGGUGCCCCAGACAGAAGUCGGGACCUGGAGUCAAGUGACCAUAUGGCAGAAGAAACCCAGAUCUGUCCAGAGACCAAGAUGCGUAAGGAAGAGAGUUUUCUUUCCUGUAUGACUUAUGAAGAGUCUGAGCCACAAGACGAAAUCACCAUCAUAGGGGGAAAGGAUCAAGUGUGCCUGGACACCUAUGAGCCUCUCCCAUCCUAUGAUGCCAGAGAGGCCAGUGUCUCAGGAAGUGUUGUAAAAGAUGAAGAGGAGGUACAAAAAUCAAUGAAAGAGAUUUAAUCAAGAGGCUUUUGGUGGUACUCGGCUUGGUUGAACCACCAAGGUGAUAAGCUCAGAGCCGCCAGUAGGAAUAUUCUCUGGAAUCCUUGCUACCAAUGACCAGUUUCAAUUCUUUCAGAAUCUUAAAAUCAAAAGAGCCAGAAUGGGGCCAGAUAAAAACUUUCAGCAUCCAGGCUUCACAAAGUCUUUUUGCCUCCUUUUUUGAUAUCCAAGGCUUGAUAGGAAAGCCUGAUUCAUCCCAAAUGCUUAGUACUUCAUACAGUGGUGAGCCCUUGGGAACCCUGCUUGACUUUUUCUAAUUUGUAGCAAUCUUCCCUGUCAUGUAAAAAGGAUUUAGUUGAUUAUCUGGUCAGAAGUUACUCCUUUUGUUCCCUGAAUUUAGAAAAAUCACUAGUCUUUCUUCCCUGUCUUCUUUCUGCCUGUCUGUUUUGGGCUCCUGCUGCGGAUGCUGUGGAAGAGAAACCCCCACUUAGGUAGUGGUGGGGUGUUAGAGUUUGGGCCCAGCAGCAGCUGUGUGGCACUGGGGCUAGGGUCCAGCAGGGAUCUGAAUCAGGGCCAGGGCCCCUAUGUGUGCUCUAUGGAAUCAAAUACCUAGAGAAUCCCAAAACAUUUCCAAAACUCUAAUAAAAAAAUGAAGACGCAACUUGCUUUUAGUUUG